rnacentral:rRNA from 1 species
CUUCCAUUCAUUUCAUUGUAAAAAUAUUAAUAAAAUGGAAAAUUAAAGAAUAUAAUUAGUAAGUUCAAUUUAACAUGUUAAAUGUUACAUCAAGUUAUUAAUUUUAAUAUGCUAUAAUAUUGAAAAUUUAAAUUUAAAAAAAAAUAAUUAAAAUAUUAAAAAUAAAAUUUUAAUAUUUAUUUAAUUUAAAUUAUUAAAUUUAAAGUUAAAUUAAUUAUAAUAUAAAAAAGUAUAUUAAUAAAUUAUCAUAAAUUUAUAAGUUAGAAAAUUAAUUACUUAAAUUUUAUUAAUGUAAACUUCUAUUUUAUUUCAUUUUAAUCCUUAUAAUACUUUCGAAUUAAAAUCAUUUAUAGUUAGUAAAAUUAGUCGUGGAUAUUAUCAAUAUAGUAAAUUGGGAGAAUCUCACGGGGGGUUAUGCGGUCAUAAACAAUAUGAAAUCCUCGGGUUAACAAAUUCCCAUCUUUUAGACAAUCCGUAAAUUUGGUUAUCUUUUGCUUUAUCACAGUGUUCCCUUUAAUUAUUUUAAGCCUCUGGCUAUAGGAAAUUGUUAGUGGCAGACGGGUGAGUAAUGCGUAGGAAUCUACCUAGUAGUACGGAAUAGCCAUUAGAAAUGGUGGGUAAUACUGUAUAAUCCCCGAGGGGGAAAGAUUUAUCGCUAUUAGAUGAGCCUACGUUAGAUUAGCUAGUUGGUGAGGUAAUGGCUUACCAAGGCUAUGAUCUAUAGCUGGUCUGAGAGGACGAUCAGCCACACUGGAACUGAGAUACGGUCCAGACUCCUACGGGAGGCAGCAGUGGGGAAUAUUGGACAAUGGGCGAAAGCCUGAUCCAGCUAUGCCGCGUGAGUGAAGAAGGCUUCGGGUGUAACUUACCGC